rnacentral:lncRNA from 1 species
GCUGAUGGGAUUAAGGUUGCUGAUCAGCUGGCCCUGAGCUUGGGAGAGGAUCCAGGUGGGCCUGAUGUAAUCAAAGGGCCCCUAGAAGGGAGGGAGAGAUGCAGGAGAGACUGUCCGAGUGGGAAGAAGGGUGCCAGGAGCCAGGAAAUUCAGAUAUUUACAAUAAAGAGGACACAAGAUUGUAGCUACGUGAUCCAAAAUUACUGUAACAGCUGCAUACACUGAGAGGUUUGAAGAAAAAAAUGCUCUUCGGUGUAGCUUUGAUCUGAAUUCUACCUUGGAUAAAUGAGGUCAUGUAUUUCUAUGUGCUUCUAGCGUGUUUUUCUGUAUGAACCAAAGGAAACACACAACAUGAAGCGACGUCUAUCCUGCUUUCCUGGUAAAGCAGGUAACUUGGAGUCCCAGGACAAAAAAGAAACUUUUCUUAGUUUCAAGUGAUAAAGUUUUUUGUGGUUGGAUCCAUAUGGAAUAACAUGGUAACAUAUCAGAGGAACUCCAAACACAGUGCAAAGGGCCAUCGCUAGAAAACAGGACGUCAUUGCAGAGGAUCAUCCAUGGAAAGCAGUGGGAGAUUACACUGGAUACGCACCAAUCUUAAGAAAUACACUGACAUUAUACUCUCACGUUUUUAUGUUUUUCCCUCAAAAGCAAAGUGCACAAAAAAAUCUAUUUUCACAGGCAAUGUUGAAUAAUUUAUCAUGGCAUCAUACUCUGAAUAAAAGCCAAAAUCAGAAAGAUGUCCUACCAGGUUCUGGAAGAUAUGCUUCAUCCUUAAUCCCUUCUUUCCUUGGACCCAUUUCUUACCAUCUCUGGACUCAUCUCCUUCUUCUGAGUGGCAGCCACGCCGUCCUCUCUGCUUGUCGUGAGCACUCCUGGGAGCUCUCUCCCCGACCAUUGGACUUGCUGUUUCCACAGUCUGAGAUGAUCUUUACCUAGAUGGUCAUGAGUCUUUGUCUCCCACCUUCUGUAGUAUCAGGGUCCAAAUAUUGAUUCACAAACUUUUUUAAGUAUUUAAAAUAAGCAUUUAAAAUGUUUUAAAGGAAGAGAUUUAACACAUGGAAUUGGUUAUAUGAGUGAUGAGAGUGCUGAGAACCCUUGAGUUAGCAACAGGAGGAAACCUUCUAGCUCUGGGCAAGAAAGAGGCAAUGUUCUUAGAAUUUAAGGCUGGAGUCAACCAGAAAAAUCCUGAACUCCAGUCAACCCAUCCAGUAGGAGUUAGAGCCACAGAAGUAAGGCAGCUGCUGGAGGCUCUGCCCAAAAUAGGGUGGGGGCAGGAAAUAUCCUGACUUCUCCACCCAACCCCCACCACUCUUUAGUUCCCCCCAGUAGCCAAGCCCAGCUAGAUGUCACUGGCUCAGGGC